rnacentral:rRNA from 1 species
UCUCCUGGAAACGGGUGGUAAUGCCGGAUGUUCCACAUGAUCGCAUGUGAUUGUGGGAAAGAUUCUAUCGGCGUGGGAUGGGGUCGCGUCCUAUCAGCUUGUUGGUGAGGUAACGGCUCACCAAGGCUUCGACGGGUAGCCGGCCUGAGAGGGCGACCGGCCACAUUGGGACUGAGAUACGGCCCAGACUCCUACGGGAGGCAGCAGUGGGGAAUAUUGCACAAUGGGCGCAAGCCUGAUGCAGCGACGCCGCGUGAGGGAUGGAGGCCUUCGGGUUGUAAACCUCUUUUGUUUGGGAGCAAGCCUUCGGGUGAGUGUACCUUUCGAAUAAGCGCCGGCUAACUACGUGCCAGCAGCCGCGGUAAUACGUAGGGCGCAAGCGUUAUCCGGAUUUAUUGGGCGUAAAGGGCUCGUAGGCGGCUCGUCGCGUCCGGUGUGAAAGUCCAUCGCUUAACGGUGGAUCUGCGCCGGGUACGGGCGGGCUGGAGUGCGGUAGGGGAGACUGGAAUUCCCGGUGUAACGGUGGAAUGUGUAGAUAUCGGGAAGAACAC